UAGAGAUUCCGUCACCACCAAAAGAGUUAAACACAGGGACACAUUUGAAGUCUCGGAGCCGGGUGUUGGUUCCGGUAGCGAUCGAGGGAAGUUAGUACCGAAGUCCGGGAUGGAAGAUGGCGAGAAAAGCUGUGUGUAUUUCUGCGGUGCCCGUACCGCAAACCGACACAGGUAGGUAGGAAGAAGAUUCUAAGGCCAACGGGAGAAGGGUUGUUAAGGAACUCGGCAAAUUGACCCCGUAACUUCGGGAGAAGGGGUGCUCUAGCGAUAGAGCCGCAGAGAAUCGGCCCAAGCAACUGUUUACCAAAAACACAGGUUUGUGCUAAAUCGAAAGAUGACGUAUACGAGCUGACGCCUGCCCGGUGCUGGAAGGUUAAGAGGAGAUGUGCAAGCAUUGAAUCGAAGCCCCAGUGAACGACGGCCGUAACGAUAACGGUCCUAAGGUAGCGAAAUUCCUUGUCAGGUAAGUUCUGACCCGCAUGAAAGGCGUAAUGAUUUGGGCACUGUCUCGACAGCCCGCCCGGCGAAAUUGUAGUACCAGUGAAGAUGCCGGUUACCCGCGACAAGACGGAAAGACCCCAUGGAGCUUUACUGUAGCCUAAUAUUGGGUUUCGAUGUUGCAUGCACAGGAUAGAUGGGACACUGGGAAGUGAUCGCUUUGGCGGUCAUGGAGUGGCCGUUGGGAUACCAUCCUUGCGAUAUUGGAAUUCUAACCUGCGCCUUUGAAUCAAGGCGGGGGACAUUGUUAGGUGGGCAGUUUGACUGGGGCGGUCGCCUCCUAAAGAGUAACGGAGGCGUUCAAAGGUUCGCUCAGCUUGAACGGAAAUCAAGCAAGAGAGUGCAAACGCAGAAGCGAGCCUAACUGCGAGACUGACGGGUCGAGCAGUAACGAAAGUUGGAGUUAGUGAUCCGGUGGUAUGUGAGUGGAAAUGCCAUCGCUCAACGGAUAAGAGUUACCCUGGGGAUAACAGGCUGAUCUCCCCCAAGAGUCCACAUCGACGGGGAGGUUUGGCACCUCGAUGUCGGCUCAUCGCAUCCUGGGGCUGUAUUCGGUCCCAAGGGUUUGGCUGUUCGCCAAUUAAAGCGGUACGCGAGCUGGGUUCAGAACGUCGUGAGACAGUUCGGUCCCUAUCUGUCGUGGGCGCAGGAUAUUUGAUGGGAGCUGUUCCUAGUACGAGAGGACCGGAGCGGACGUACCUCUGGCGCACCAGUUGUUCUGCCAAGAGCAUAGCUGGGCAACUAUGUACGGAUCGGAUAAACGCUGAAAGCAUCUAAGCGUGAAGCCGACCCAAAGAUAAGAUAUCCCACUGAUUCGAUCAGGUAAGAUCCCUUGAAGACUACAAGGUUGAUAGGCACAAUGUGUAAGUGGAGUGAUCCAUUCAGCAAGCGUGUACUAAUAGAUCGAGGGCUUGACCG
rnacentral:rRNA from 1 species